AGCGGACACCCUUGCCCUCCAGAAUGCACGAAUCUACUUGACCCUUGGGCGUAUGACAGUUUUCCGGCCAGUGUAAAAAAACGAUCAUCAGGAAUUGAUGGUUUCACGUUCGAUGAUUAUUUAUUUUUGAGAUGGCUUGGUCGCGAUAUGAAGCGUCACAGGUUACAGUAGAUGGACACAAAGAUAGAGAGAUAACACCACAAACAUUUUUGUCACUUCAAUAUUUUACUUAAAGGCAAGCUCUGGGUCAUGGGUUCAUAACGAUGACUUGCUUAUUAGAUGUUAAAAAAUGUAAAACUAUUAUAUAUACAAUCAGUCAAAAAAAGAAAAAGACAUUGUUAUGGAAACAAAGUGAGUAAUGGAGACUGACCUGCUUUUUUAUACAUUUUAUUUAAUUCAGUGAAUCAUUCCACCAUUAUUUAUCGUUAUAUUUAGAACAAUUGAAAUAAAAAAAACUAAACCAAAGAUUUUAAGCAAUGUUUUAUUGUCAAUGAUUUGAAUAUAUUUAAUACAUUCGUAGUAUUUACCUUUAAAAUUACGUAUUUAAACCCUUGUAUUUUUACAUGUAAGCUGUUGUAUUUUUCUUAUAUUUUGAAACCAGAUCGGGUCCUCAGUCUUCAACAAUUAUUGAAAAUAAACAAUAGAAA